AAAUUGAAGAGUUUGAUCAUGGCUCAGAUUGAACGCUGGCGGCAGGCCUAACACAUGCAAGUCGAACGGUAACAGGAAGCAGCUUGCUGCUUCGCUGACGAGUGGCGGACGGGUGAGUAAUGUCUGGGAAACUGCCUGAUGGAGGGGGAUAACUACUGGAAACGGUGGCUAAUACCGCAUAACGUCGCAAGACCAAAGAGGGGGACCUUCGGGCCUCUUACCAU
rnacentral:rRNA from 1 species